AAUUCUCAAUCAUGUCGUGUGUGCAAGCAUGGACAUGACUUGGAGUUGGGGGUUGCUGGCCGUCCACAGGGCAGUCGGCUCUCCUUAAAUGCAUUAGCGAACGUGGCGUCCGUCUCGAGAAGACGUGCACGGCCUUUGACGUGAUAAUGAUCGUCGUGGCUGGAGUGUCAGAUCGCCCACGUUGCUUCUAAUCGAUGUCCUUUUCGACAACGCGACG
rnacentral:misc_RNA from 1 species